rnacentral:rRNA from 1 species
AUGGGUCCUCUUGAUAUUCUGAAUUAUUUAAGGAAACACUCCUUAAUCUAUCCUAAUGUUGUAGUUGCAUACAAAAUUUUGUUGACCAUUCAUGUGACGGUUGCAUCUGUGGAAAUAUGCUUUUACAAACUCAAGUUGUUGAAGUCCUACUUGCGAUCUACUAUGACACAAGAAAUACUCAAUGGAUUGGCGACAAUAGUACUUGAAAAGGAUGUCCUAGAAAUGAUUUAGUAUGAAAAUAUGACUGGAGAUUUCAUUUCAAGAGAUACUAGACAGAUUUUGCUUUUUGGUAGAGCAUGGGGUUAG